GUUGUUUUUUUUUUUUUUUUUUUACUCUUGCUUUCUAAGUACUUGUCUAAAACAUCUGAUUAGGUCACGUUCUUAUUUUAAAUUAUUCUGUCACUUACUUAAUGGACUCUUUUAUUUCAGUGGCAUUUAUUUUCUAUCAUGAGAAGUGUGUAUGGUAGUAUUUGAAUUUCACAAACAUACUUGAGGGCUGCAGUGUUUUUACUUAAUAUGAAAAUGUUUCUGUCAAAUUUCCUACAGCUAUCUAUUGCUGUAGGUAUACCAACAGAACUUGUUAAAAAAAAUGGUAUUCUCUUUAAUGUUAUAUGUGAAUCUGCCUCAAAUUUGUUAGUCCAUUAGUGAAUUUGUUCUUUUUUUUUUUUUUUCUUAAGUAG